AAACAGAAAACCAGCUAAGGUCUAGAAGGCCCGGGAGGGUGGAGGGAGGCAGUUGGAGGCCAGUUGGUGGCGCAGGGGCUGGGGUCCAAUCGGCUGCCCUCCUCUAGCCUUCGCCCGCUCAGGAGCCCCUGUGACACGGCCACAGUUCCAUGAUGAGGGCGUGGGGUUCUAAUCUCCAAGUCACUCCCAGCGCUCAGUUGCCUGAGAGUAGGACUAGAUCCGAGAUAUGGAAACUCCUAUCUUAUGUCUACAAAGCAUUGUUGCUACCUGCUUGAGCUCCAGUGCCGCUUCCUGGGUGAUUGGGACCAUCCUCCGCAUCCUGUAUGGACUGGGUCUCUUCCUCCUGUUCUUUCCUCCCCGCAAAAGGAAUUUGCCCUCACAACCAACUGACAAAAGGAGAAACGUCAGGAAGCGUCAAGUGGAGCCGAGAGGGAGGAGCAGCAGGAGCAGGAAGAAAAGGGGAGCUUGGAAAGGUAAGCUCCUGCCAUUCAGCCCUGUGCCCCAGAGCUGGCCUCCACCUCCUGUCCCUGAGCGCCCAGCUCCGUGGGCUCGAGGAGGCCAGGGACAGAGCCUGUCCCUCAGGAAACAGAGCCCUCAGCGAGGCUCCCGGGAAGGAGAGGAAAACCUGAGUACUUGCCAGAUUCUGUGCUGGGAACUGAGGCCCAGGCCAGCAGGCGUCUGGAACAGGGUGUUGCCCAGCAGGGGCAUGUGGGCUGUGGUAGAGGUUGAAGCACUUGGUCCAUGACAAACCUCAACCCAUCAGCAGCCUUGCCAUCCCCAUCAGGGAUCCCGUGGCCUUGGGCACUGGUGCCUGGGCUCCAGAGUCUGACCUCAAACGGUCUCCCCUAAAGGCACACUGCACGCAGCCCCCUGCCAGAGCCCUCGGCCCCCGCCUUCACCGCUGUGACCCGGUGCCCUCAUUUCUAGCUUACAGAGCUGGCCGGAAGGACCUGGCAGAAGUGGGGGGCCUGAGGUCCCUUUCGCCAAGGUAAGGAAUCUUGCCCUUCUCUCCUGGGCUUCUUCCUCGCAGAGUCUCUGACGUGCCCCAGGGCUACAGGCAGCUUGGGGCUGAGCUGGGAGGGGAGCCAUGGGGCAGGGGGUGGCAAGAGGCCUGGGGGGAGGGACAGCAGGAGAAUUCGGCGAAGUGAAGGGAGGGCCAGGGAGGGCCAUGGCUCUCAAGGGGCCACCCGCACCUGGCCUGGCCUGGCCUGGCCUGGCCUGCCCUGCCCUGCUGUCCCAGGGCCCUCUGCUCCUGGCUACAGCUUGUGCAUCUUGUUUCCCGCAGCUCCCCGGGGAGGCUGUCUUGUAAGGGGUGCUUCCAUCGCUUGUCAUCUCAAGACUCCCCUGGGGAGGCGUGCAAGACAGCGUCUGCUAGAGUCCGCCAGCCAUGCGGGAAGCCCGUGCAAGGUGCUCCUCUCACCACGACUCCAGCACAUUCCCUGGCUCUUCUCACCCAGCGCACUCUACCUUGGGCCUCCACCCUGCCAGCAGAACCGCCCUCGGCCCUGACCACCACUCCACUACGCCCUGUGGCCACGAGCUCGGCUCCAGCUCACUCGUGUUGGCCAUUUCCCAACUCAGGCCACGGCCGCGUGAGCUGUCGCCUUGAAA
rnacentral:lncRNA from 1 species